CGACAACACAGCGUCUGAUUGGUACAAAUCUCUAGCAACGCUCUGAUUGGUUAAGCAGAUCUAAGAUGGACGGCUAAAAGUCCGCGAACAGCAACACAAGCCUUUUACUUCUUGAAAAACGGGAUAAAAAUGAUCAUCAAAGCCAUUCAAUGUUGGAUUUAUCAUCACGGACAUGUUGUACAAAGUCUCCGAAAAGACACUGAAGUUCCAGGCCGCACUACAAAUCUUCUGAGAGGGCCUAGAUCUCACAGAAGCCCAGCCUGGAGCGGCGCAAGUGUUAGCUUCUCGUCAAAACAAACCUUACAUUCAACCCAGGACAGACCUCACACAGUUCCACCUACCUCCUCUACACUCACGGCUGAAGCUUGAAAGUAUCUCCAUUGGGUUGUUGCCCCACUCUAUGAGGACCAGCUCGUUGGCUUGACCUGGAACUGCAUAGGAGAAAGGUGUGCCCACUCCAGGAGAGGCGUUGGACUUGAGCCACAUGCACACGAUGUGUAGGGGACACCAGGAAGGUGAGGGACAGCAGACCUUCGACACACAGAACAUAUUUUGUCAGCUGGGAGCAGGACACACAGUUCUCCGGUGAUCGAUGGAGACAACAGCAGUAAUGGCCCUAACAGCCAGUCAAGGGGGACGAUCAGCGGCCAUCGAUCCGAGCGGCCGGGGGAUCCAGUGCGUGUGCGUUAAAGCAGUAAAUUGGAUCCAGUAAUCGCCGCAGGCAGCAAACGAGAUGAUUUCGGCAGUAAUUUGUGGAAGACAACUUUGAGAACAGCCUUGGGGAUGUUUCACCUGAUUAGAUGCAAAGAAAUGGCAAGAGGUGAGUCACCUGAAGCAGGACGCACAUGUCAACGGACGCAGCAACUCACACAACAUGAUCUGACUGAGUCCUUGCGUGUGUCACUGCGAAGUACACAGCGAACAAUGGCCUAUUGUUCCUGCCUCUGCAUUCCUCUGGUUCCAUCUUCCCCUGAGUCAGUCUAUAUACAUGUAUUUAGCUUGAUACCACACAGCAGACAUGAAUCGAGUGCUGUUGCUGUGGCUAUAAUUAAAUCCCAUAAUUGAAACCUGA